GGGGGAAUAGACAUAAGACUGACACAGACAUUUAUAAACAGGAUUACAGGUCUUCUACCUUCUAAAAUAUAAAGCUAGAUAGUAAUCCCUAUGUCUCAUUUUUCUGUGACUUUCUUUGCAGGUAAGACAAAAAUAUAAAAGAACAGUAUUCCAAUGUUCCAUACAAAUGCACAUAUUUUAUGUUUUUAAAGAAAAUCUUUACAUUAAACACAUGUGAAAAUGUUCACUCUCUUUCAUAUAUGUUCCUAAUAUCUAACUUUCUGAUUAACAAACUCAUCCAAUGUUUUGAUAAAAGUUUUACAAGAUCAGUGGCAGAUCCAGAAGUGAAGAGAGCGCUUGCCUACCUUUUGAUCAGCACAAAUAAGUUUAUAAAGUCAAUACAAUCAACAUUAACAUACACAAAGCUGGUUUCAUAUUUUCUUUAAUAAACACUUUUAACAUGAUGAAAUUUCAUAUCUUAUCAACUUACACAUAUACAUGUACAUAAGCAAUCAGCAGAGAACAAAAUGGAUUUCAAUUGAACAUUUCUUUGAUUCAAAUUAGGGCAUUAUGAUAAUGGCUAUAUACAACAAAUAAGUAUUUUUAUAACUUUUAUGGAUUUAGUUUACCUACAGUUUGAUUUGAUAGUUCUAAAAUGCAAGUAUGCAAUACACUUCAAAUUAUUUUCAACUAACUUUAAAGUUGUGAAUCCCUUUCCUUUGAUAAAAAAAAAUUUGAUUAGCUGUGGUUAAUUUCUUAUUUGAACCUCAUUUUAUAGUUUUCCCAGAAUAUUUUCCAAACUUCUGUUAACUCGGAUUAUCAUUUGUGUAUUAAUUAUUGUAAAUAUUAGUGUAAACCAACACUAAUUCUGGAAAUGCUGAACAUGUAAUCAGAAUGCAUUAUACCAAGUUCUAUAUAGUACUAUGAUAGCAUCAUUUUUUCUGUACAAAUACAAAAUUAAAAAAAAUUCUGAGUUUACAGUGUAACAGUGUCAUGACUGAUUGAAAAAAGAAAAGUUUUGAUAAAAAAAAAUUCUGAAGUAAAAUACACAAACUUAAUCCUGAAUAUUUUUUUAUUAUGAACCCUAACCAGCAUCUGCAAAAUAUUUUUAUUAGUAUUUGUAUAUUGACUUUUCUGAAUAACAAAAGCUCAGUUGAGAACAUAAUAGAUAUAUACAUGAUAUAUAUUGGUUUUCACUAAAAAAAAAAGACAUAAACUAGUUUUUCCAGUUCAUAUAGCAUAAAAAAACACUCCAAAAACAUUAAAUAAAAACAUUAAAAAAUUGCCUAGAUAUCUUAAGUACAUAACAAACAACCUAGAACUGUUGUGUACCAACCAUUAAAAAAUCUACAUUCAACAAUUGGGGCAUGAAGUAAAACGGUAAAAGAAUUACUCUUAUUAUGAUCCCAUGAGUUCAAUGUGUGUCCCAAAAGAGGAGUUGAUAAAUAUGUUGUAUGACAGUGUGUAGCUUUCAAUCCACAUUGUAAGUAUUGACUUUUUAUACAUGCUUAAACUUAAGUUUUCUCAAACUGACCAAAACAUAGCUGUGAAGAUAGCUAAUCUCGGUUGAUUUCUCGGUUGUUUACAAGAAAAUUAUAUAUUUGUAGAUUUGUUCAGACUUUUUUCUGUUGAACUUGAUCAAACGUAAGUGUUUAAAAGGAUAUCCUUACCACAUAUGAUCAUAAAUGAUUUCAUUAAGUACUACAACCUAAUAAUGUCAUCAAAAUAAACUAAUAAUUCAAUAUAUGACAAUCUUAUAUACACCAGCUUACCAGAAAUCAAGUAAUACCAUUCAAACAUAAAAAUCUAUUCCAUUAUUUAUCCUUUUUGAUACAAUAAAAGCAAAAAUAAACUUGCACCAUAUUUGUAUUUUUCCUUUUUGAUACAAUAAAAGCAAAAUAAACU
rnacentral:lncRNA from 1 species